rnacentral:rRNA from 1 species
AGCCUAGGUCGGAUUAGCUAGUUGGUGAGGUAAUGGCUCACAAGGCGACGAUCCGUAACUGGUCUGAGAGGAUGAUCAGUCACACUGGAACUGAGACACGGUCCAGACUCCUACGGGAGGCAGCAGUGGGGAAUAUUGGACAAUGGGCGAAAGCCUGAUCCAGCCAUGCCGCGUGUGUGAAGAAGGUCUUCGGAUUGUAAAGCACUUUAAGUUGGGAGGAAGGGCAUUAACCUAAUACGUUAGUGUUUUGACGUUACCGACAGAAUAAGCACC